GGAUAUAUAGCGCCCAUCUCAGCCCAGGUUGCUUGUACACGAAAUGAGUUGUAGAUCUCAAUGGAUAAAAUAUUUAGGUAUCAACCUUGUCAUAAGUUAGAUACAUUAGAGAUGCACUUUUGUUUGGAGUCCGACGUGUCCUCGCUAAACACAUGGUUUUAAUGUACGUUAUAUAUACAUACCCUGCCCACUACAAGCACUUUCUCGUUUGCAGUCAUGCUUUUAACGUCGCUGACCCAUCCGUUAAUAAACUGGUUGUACGCCUCCAGAGACUUGAAUGCCCUCAAUUCCUCCAUUGUAUAGGCACUGGUGUAAUUGACGAGGUAGUUCAAAAUGUCUAUGUACGUUAUGGCCGGGAGGCAUUUGUGGUCAUACGUGAAACUUUGUUUCGGCACUUCGUACGGGUCAACGCCUAUGCAUUGUGUCUUCUGGUUGUAUCUUUCCAACGUCUGGUUGUCCAAGCCUUCUUUAUACUUCUUUUUUGCUGGUUUCUCGGCCAUUAUGCAUACGUUUGUGAACGGGUUCGUAUAUAUGAAUUUGCUGAUGUUGUACCGGUGCGCUUGCCUUUCAAAAUGGCGGAUCGCGCGGAGCAUCAUGGGAAAUCAGUCGGGCGUGAAAACUAUGUAUAGGAGUGUCAAAAUGACAAAACGAAAACCUGCAAAACGAUGGAGAAGAACCGGUAAAGAAGUCGACUCAAAUAAACGAUCAAGAAGGACUGUACAAUUGCCACCAAUGUGAAUGUGGAGACUGAUGAGCAAUGUCUAAAAGGUAGCAGCAGGGGAACAGAAGGAGCCCAAAACACUGCUCUUCAUAUGGAACACAUCCAACCUCCAGGUGUCCAUGCAGGAUGUACCACUCUGGAACAUCAAACCUCUCCCUACCCGCCAGCACAUGAAAAUAUUUCUACUUUUGACUCUAUCAAAGACAAUGGAAAACCAUUUUCCAGAACAGCCCUCAUAGAUCCUCCUGAUGGCCUAACAACUGAACUACAUGUCGAUGCUGAGUAUGAUCCAUCUCAAUCAUUUGAGGAAUCUCUCCCUGAUAUGGGGGAUUGGAUGUACAAUGACGGACAUAUGUUUAAUGAAGGAUUUGAAGAUAGUUUGAGUGAGGAGUGUGCAGAAGAAUCAAAUAUCAAGGACACAACAGACAAACCAUUAUAUGACAAUGCAUCAGUAACCGUGGCAGAGUGCCUUCUGAUCAUCAGGGCUUAUGAAAACUGUCAUAAAGUCACUGAUAAGGCCCUAUAAGCGAUUUGCUGAAAAUGUUCAAGUUGCUUUGUCCCGAUAGUCUGAAUGCAGACUGCUUAAACAGUGUGCAGAAGUUCAAAAACUUUCUUUUAUCCUGCUCUGCAUCAUCGCCUAUUUUAUUACAUAAAUACUGCAGUAAUUGUUUUGGGCAAUUAGAAAGUAAACAAAUAAAAUGUUGUCUUGUGGGACCAGUGUGUCAGAAGAAAGAUCUUCAUCCUUUAUAGAGGUUCCAAUUAAGGCUCACAUAAGGUAAUUGUUCCUCAAGCCAGGUUUUCAGGAGAAGCUUAACUUCAGAUUAAGCAGAAAGAAGGCAGAUGCUAACAACAUUGAAGAUAUAUAUGAUGCAGAAGUUUACAAACAGCUUGUCGAUAGGGGUGGUCCUCUUAGUGACCCUAAAAACAUCUCAUUUGGAACACCGAUGAAGACAAAAAUUGAUAUAUGUUAAGGCUCAUACGUGGUACUCAAAAUAUACCUAUGCAGAUGGUAAAUGUAGUCAAACUUGUGCAGUCUAUUCCUGUUAUUUCACAAACUAUUAAACCAGGGAAUGUCAUAGCUGAAUUUUACAGACAUAUGACUAAAGAUGAUAGUUUCUGUCAGGAAAACAAAUAUUUGUCUAGGAUUAAACUAUAUGGAGCACCUAGUGAACUUCUAUUGGACACAGUUCACCUCUCUGCAUUGCAAAUACAUGCUGGUCACUGCAUCAAUUCUGGAACAGUAAGCAUCUUUCACAGGGCACAAGUUAAGAGAAAUUAUCUCACAUCAAAACACUAUGGUAAAGGUAAUAGUAGAAACAAUUUUACAGUUUUUUUUUUCAAAUGACGGACAAACAAAGUAUGGACAGAUUGAUUUCUUCUUUAUCAUAGCACAAUCAUGUGCCAAAUGGGCCCUCCUUCGUGAAUUCAAACAUGCAGGGUUUUCUUUGCUGCAAGAUAGUGUAACAAAUGGUACAUGAAGUCAUGUUAUUCCCCUAUUGGAAACCUCUGCCAGUACAGUAGUAUGAUUGGAUGACAUAUUGGGUAAAGUUGUUUUCCUUGACUUCACAUCUGUGCCUGGCAUUGUGUUUGCAGUUCAUUUCCCAAACACACUUGAAAAGUUUUAACUAAUCAAGAACUCAACUGGCCUAAGAAGUCACAAAUCAAAUAUUUGAUCAUUGUUAUAAAUGCUCUGAAAAUACACACCGAUGAGAUGUUGCCGUGGAUGCUGUAAAAGUCUGUAAAUAUGUACUGUAUAUGGAGUAUCAUUGUUGAUUAAGUUUUUGCAUUGUCUGUAAUAUUUCAGUGGCCAAUAUAUUAAAAUGUACUUGUUAAAUAAAACCACUGUCUUUUUUAAUGAAUAUUUAGGCCUACUACGCUACUGUAUUUUAAUAUUAGUCCUUAUCAUGGUGGUUGGAGAGCCAAAGGUUUUCUGAAGUGGUACUUUGUGAAAAGAGUUUGAGAAUCACUGCUCGAGAAAGUUCACUAAUGUUAAAAGGUCUUAAAAAGUGUCUU